AACGAACGCUGGCGGCAGGCUUAACACAUGCAAGUCGAACGCAUCCUUCGGGGUGAGUGGCAGACGGGUGAGUAACGCGUGGGAACGUGCCCUUCAGUUCGGGAUAACCCAGGGAAACUUGGGCUAAUACCGGAUACGUGCGAGAGCAGAAAGAUUUAUCGCUGAAGGAUCGGCCCGCGUCUGAUUAGCUAGUUGGUGGGGUAAUGGCCCACCAAGGCGACGAUCAGUAGCUGGUCGGAGAGGAUCAUCAGCCACAUUGGGACUGGGACACGGCCCAAACUCCUACGGGAGGCAGCAGUGGGGAAUAUUGGACAAUGGGCGCAAGCCUGAUCCAGCCAUGCCGCGUGAGUGAUGAAGGCCUGAGGGUUGUAAAGCUCUUUCGUCCGGGACGAUAAUGACGUUACCGGAAGAAGAAGCCCCGGCUAACUUCGUGCCAGCCGCCGCCGUAA
rnacentral:rRNA from 1 species